CAUGUAGGCGGCAUGACAAGUCUGGUGUGAAAUAUCUCGGCUCAACCGAGAAAACGCACUGGAAACUGUCAAGCUUGAGUAUCGGAGGGGAAGCUAGAAUUCCUGGUGUAGGGGUGAAAUCUGUAGAUAUCAGGAAGAAUACCGGUGGCGAAGGCGAGCUUCUGGCCAGAUACUGACGCUGAGAUGCGAAAGCGUGGGGACUAACAGGAUUAGAUACCCUGGUAGUCC
rnacentral:rRNA from 1 species